AUGAGCUGUGCUUGGGUUUCUUUCAAUCCUGUGCAGGCAGACAGAGUGGAGCACGAGAUGCCAGUAAGAGACCUGUGUUUUCAGGCCUAUAACACCGCGGACCUGGAGCGGAGAUCCGAUCCAAUGAUUAUGCAAACCACCGGGCAUUUUGAAUACUGUGCAAAGGAGAAAAUGACACAACAGAUUUAUUUUUGUAAUUCACAUGAGGAAAUUACAUUCAUGAAUGCUUUUUUAGCACAGCUGAUGACCACGCAUGUCCCCCCUCCACUUGUCCCUUUCUGAGAAAACGCACCUGUCCACCGAGACCGCUCAUCUAGGGGGAGGGCUUAGCGGUGUCCUCCGUUCCGACCUCCACCCACCACGGCCGCCGCUUGCGUGAGACCUGAGCUGGUGCCGGCCGCUUCCUCCGCUCCUCUCUUCUGGCCUGGCGUCCACACAAGAGCCUCAGAUUCCAUCACACCCUCAACUCAUUUCCUGUCACCAACAAGAGGAUAUGGAACUGAUCUGCAAAUGCGAAAAAGGUGGCGUAAAGAAGAAGAAAGCGUGUUCAAUUAUGAAUCUUCUGUGUACGUUUAUGAGGCUGAAGAGUUUCCCGUUGAUUUCUUUGUCGCUCUAAUAACUGCGUCUCGCUGCCCGAGUCUGACAGUGGGAUGCCGGAUGACUGAAGCCCGCAGAGCUUUGAGUGGUGACUCAUUACGGGACUCGGAGGAAGCACACAACUGGCAAUAAGAAUUCAGUAAGUUCUGUUGGACUUGUUGCUUUCAAAAUGAUCAGCAAAAAGCCUUAGACGUCAGGAGGCGCAAAGAAAACUGUCUCCCUUCGGCAGACGUUUGCCACGUCCGCAACCAUUUGGUAGAAUAGGGGCGGGGAUCGAACCCGCAACGGUUAGGUGUCGGGGGCGAAGCGGGAAGCAGAAAAAAACUGUAGCCUCUGUUUCGGUGUCAAAGGACUGUUCACACGUAAAACUUUUCAGUGUGUUUCGAUGUUAAUCUUUUAUACCUGUAAACACAUAGUAGAGAAGGUUUGAUGUUAUACCUGUCAGAUACUGCACUUACUCUUGUCUGUAACACCAUUGAAAAGGAACAAAGUUGCAACUUCAUAAUAAAGUCCACUAUAACCAAAAUGGAUAUAAACUG
rnacentral:lncRNA from 1 species